UACGUAGGUGACAAGCGUUGUCCGGAUUUACUGGGCGUAAAGAGCGCGCAGGCGGUCGAUCAAGUCGAGUGUGAAAGCCCCCGGCUCAACUGGGGAGGGUCAUUCGAUACUGAUCGACUCGAAGGCAGGAGAGGGUAGUGGAAUUCCCGGUGUAGUGGUGAAAUGCGUAGAUAUCGGGAGGAACACCAGUGGCGAAGGCGGCCCUCUGGAUCGUUGCUAACGCUGAGACGCGAAAGCGUGGGUAGCAAACAGG
rnacentral:rRNA from 1 species